UAUCUUGACGAUGACAAUGUGUGAUGUGGAUGUGUGUUAACUUUUAAAAUUUAUUUAUAAAUGAUUUUGUUAUAAGCAAUAAAACGGUUUUGUUCUUUGGAUAUAAACAUUAUUAAACUGCAAUUAGUACUACGUAAAAUCAAAUUUAAAAACAAAUAUGGAAACAGAACAAGAAACUAGUGAGGAACUUUGCAAAAUAGAAACAGAUAAUGAGGUAUUUGAUGGUCAUUUGGAUGUCUUCAAAAUUGAAAUCAAAGAAGAACCUAAGACAGAAAAUGAAAACCAUGAAUUUGAUUAUUUAAACUUGCAUGAAUUCCCUGUUAAAGCUGAAUUAGAACAAGUCGAAUAUAAAUUUACGCUAUUUGAAGAAAAGCAAGAAACAAAUGAAGAAAGUUGUUCCAAAGAGGAGAUCAAAUUGGAAACUAUGGAAACUUUACCUGCACAUUCAUCUCAGAUAGAAAAUUAUACAGAUCAACACGCUGAAGAAAAAAUAUUAAACAAAAAUGUGGAAGUUGUGACUGGACAAAGACCUUAUAAGUGUGGAAUUUGUUUUAAGCAGUUUAGUCGAGGUGGAGAUUUGAAAAGGCAUUUAAGGAUACACACUGGAGAAAAGCCUUACAAGUGCGCAAUUUGUUUUAAGCAGUUUAUUCAAGAUGGACAUUUAAAAACGCAUUUAGUGGUACAUACUGGAGAAAAGUCUUACAAGUGCGAAAUUUGUUUUAAGCAAUUUAGUGAAAGAGGCACUUUGAAAAGUCAUCUGAGAGUUCAUACUGGGGAAAAGCCUUACCAGUGUGAAAUUUGUUUAAAGCAGUUUUCUUUAGCAGGUAAUUUGACACGACAUAUGAGAAGACAUACUGGAGAAAAACCUUACAAGUGUGAAAUUUGUUUUAAAAAGUUUAUAGAAUCAGGAAGUUUGAAAAAGCAUUUGAGAGUGCACACUGGAGAAAAGCCUCAUAAGUGUGAAAUUUGUUGUAAGGAAUUUACUGAAUCUGAAAGCUUGAAAAGGCAUUUGAGAGUGCACACUGGAGAAAAGCCUCAUAAGUGUGAAAUUUGUUGUAAGGAAUUUACUGAAUCUGGAAGUUUGAAAAGGCAUUUGGCAGUGCACACCGAGCAGAAACCUCAUAAAUGGGAAGUUUGUUUUAAGGAAUUGACUUAAUUAGGAAGGUUGAAAAGGCAUUUGAGAUUGCACACUGAAGAAAAGCGCUGCUAGUGAGAAAUUUGUUUUAAGCAGUUUACUACAAUAAGUGCGUUCGCGGGUGCCUGUCGACGACUAGUCGGCGACACAUUAGCAGCAAAACGCAUGCGCACUUUAAAAUGAUAUAAAUAUUAUCGUUAAUAGAUAAUUAUACAAGGUAUAUUUACCUAGUAUAAUUUAAUAAUUAGUUAUUAAUAUUAAUUAAAAGUAAAUAUACCUUGUAUAUUUAUCUAUUAACGGUAUUAUUUAUAUUAAGUGAGGUUAGAAAUUGUCGGCGACAAUUUGUCAACUGUACCCGCGAACGCACUUAUUGAUUUCCUUAAAAAGACAUUUGAGACUGCACACUAGAGAAACGCCUCACAAGUGUGAAAUUUGUUAUAAAAAAUUUACUGAAUUAAUAAGUUUGAAAAAGCAUUUGAGAAUGCACACUGGAGAAACGCCUCACAAAAUGUGAAAUUUGUUGUAAGAAUUUUAGCGAAUCAGGUCAUUUGAAAAGACAUUUGACAUUGCACACUAGGGAAAGGCCUUACAAGUGUGAAAUUUGUUUUAAAAAUUUAUUGAAUUAUGAAGUUUGACAAAGCAUUUGAGAACGUACGCUUAAGAAAAACAGAUGUGAAAUUUGUUUUAAUUUAUUUUUGUGCAGUUUUUCGCUGUGCCCGUCUGAUCCACAAGAUCUACGUUAUCACUGAAGCCGAAGCUUACAACCUGAAGUUGUUAUUUCCUACAACCAGCUGCGAGUUUUUGAAUUUUGCUUGGUGUAUCCUAAAUGUACCAGGAUCUUGACAGACUUAAAAAAGAUUUUGUUCGUAAAAUUUAAUUUGAAAUAUGAAUGGAUAGAUUUUUAAAGGUUUCUUCUCAUUUUUAAGCAAAUUCCAUCAUUCGACAAAUAUUAUAGUAAGAAGUAAUCAACAUAAAAAUGUUCUGAAGCUGUUUUCUUGUGACAUUUUUGACAAUUAUAUUUUUGAUGGAAUUAAGCCACAAUUGGUUGUAAUGAUAAUUACAUUUUUAUAUUAACCUAAGGUUAUAUUUACAUGGAAAUCCAACAUCAUUUGAGUUUAAAUUUUUUUUUGAUAACGAUUUCCGAAUUGGAAGCCGAAUUGGCAAAAACGAACCAAAUAGUAUAUUGUACAACAAGUGAGAAAAAAGACAUAUUUCUCACGAGCGCAGAAGUUUGUUGGCACGAGCCGGGGCACAAAGCGAGUGCUGCAAAUCAAGCGAGGGAGUAAUAUGUCAUUUUCUCAUGUGUUGUACACUGUACUUUUUCUAUGGAUGCGAUUUUGUCAAGAGUUCAAACUUUAAAAUUAAAUAAUUUAAGUGCUUUUAGGUAUAUUAUAUGCAUAAAUUUAAAUAAAAUACAUAUAAAUUUAGAUAUUCAGUAUUCUUAAAAUUUAUAUAGGUUAUUUAUUUAAAAUUCUAAUUAACAGUUAUUUUUGAACAGUUUUCAGGUUUUCAUAAACUAAAAAGACAUAUUCACACCCAAGAAAGUCACUAGAAUAAUAACCAAAUACAUCUUCUUUUUUGGUUGAUCUAGUCGGCCCUCAAGGGUAAUCCAUAUAUUAUAUUAAAUUAAUACGUCGCUAAAGAGUUCCAAAAACAACUGCUUUUCAGCAUGUGUCAACAACAAAUGUCACUAGUGUCAAAAUUUGAUAAAUAUCAUUAGUGUCAAUAUUUUAUAAGAGUGGAGUAAACUUGCCUGCGGUUGGACCAAUUACAAACAAGAAAUUAAGCGCGGUAAAUUUGAAUCACUCCUCUUGGUUAAAAAACAAACCAUAGAAGUUCGAAUAUUUUGUAAGGGUUAAGAUUUCUUAUUUUUUGAAUAAAAAUGGCGCGUCCAAAACGAUUCAAAACGAAAAAAAAUUCAAAACGAUUGUUAAUUUGAAAUAUGUCAAGUUUCGUACUAUCUUUUUCUUAAAAAAGUUAAGACCAUUACUCCUAUACGAGCCAAUGAUAAAUACAAAAUUCUUAAUUGUAUGUCAAAAAAUGCACAACAACAACCUCUUAAAACUCGCCAAAUUUUAUUACAAUGUUGCCAGUAGUUUCGGCAAAAUCGUAAAAAAUGUGUAAUUUUGUUUGCUUCAACGCCCUGUAUCUUGAAAAUGGAUGUCAUUACCAAAAAUUUUUGUUAGGCAAACCACAAUUAUUUUUCAGUUUUUUACCUAUUCCAGUGACGGUGUUACCCUUUUUGAAAAACAUGUAUAAAAAAAACCGAAAAAAUGUGGUUUUUUAUUUUUAAAGGUACGUUUCACCAAUUUUAAAAAGUUGAAAAAAUUCAAGGUGAAAUAUUAUACAAAAAUACACGUUACAUGUUUUUUUCGUGAAAACGAAUGUCUUAGUUAUUUUUUAAUACUCAUUUAAAAUUUUAAAAUCGUUCUAAAACUUUAAUUUCCCGCCAAAAAUGAAAAAAAAAAUUCGGACAGAACAUUUUAAAGCUUACAACUUUUUUACUUAAAGUUUUUGGCUAGUUCUCUAUGCGGCUGAGAUAAACAAUAAAAACAUAAAAACCCUAAUUAGGCUCUAGGUGGGUCACAUAACCACCUAGGAGGCUAAAAAUUUCAGAGAGUUAGUUUCACUAUAUAUGCUAAACGGUGACCUGUAUGGAAUUCGAAUCGAGUUAUGGGCAGUUUUCAUCAUCUUACCCGGCUAGGCCCUUAAAAGCAGCAAUCUUGAAACGAGUUUUAAGUUUUGAUGUCGCGCUACUGUAGCCUCAUUUGUUACUUACAUGUACCAAUAAUUGUUCAAAAACGGCAAUUUCUAAUAGUUUUUCUAUAGUAUUCGGUAAUAACUGGUAGCUUGGUCGGAAUUCUUCAGCUUUGAUAGUAUUGGGUGUUUUUUGUAUAGGGGUGAUAGUACUUAUUUUUAAUACAUCAGGAAUUUUACCCGUAGCAAGAGAUGUACCUAGUAAUUUUAUUAAAUUUAACAUAACGUGCCCAAUGGUUUCAAAAACUUCCUUUACCAUUCUGCAAUUUAACGUUUCGUGCAGUGAGAAUGUUUGAACAUGAACAUGAACUU
rnacentral:misc_RNA from 1 species